CUUCUCGUCCUUGCAGGGUUCACCCUCUUCACCACCGUGGAUUUUGUCCUUGAUCUUCUCCACCAAUCCCUCUUUGUGCUCACCAUAACCGUGUUCAGGCUUGUGUUCACCGUACCCUUGUUCGGGCUUAUGCUCACCAUAACCGUGUUCAGGCUUGUGUUCACCGUACCCGUGUUCGGGUUUGUACUCACCGUAACCGUGUUCCGGCUUGUGUUCACCGUACCCGUGUUCGGGUUUGUGCUCACCGUAUUCGGGCUUGUGCUCACCAUAGCCGUGUUCGGGCUUGUGCUCACCAUACCCGUGUUCGGGCUUGUGUUCACCCUUGUGCUGUUCACCUUCUUUCUGUCCGCCCAUGCCAAGUUUUUCUUCAAUCUUGUGAAUGAUUCCUGCCAUUUUUCACUAGAAACUGAAUGCAACAAAAUGAAAAGG
rnacentral:lncRNA from 1 species